GACGAACGCUGGCGGCGUGCUAACCCAUGCAAGUCGAACGGAAAGGCCCUGCUUUUGUGGGGUGCUCGAGUGGCGAACGGGUGAGUAACACGUGAGUAGCCUGCCCUUGACUUUUGGAUAACUUCAGGAAACUGGGGCUAAUACCGGAUAGGAGCUCCUGCUGCAUGGUGGGGGUUGGAAAGUUUCGGCGGUUGGGGAUGGACUCGCGGCUUAUCAGCUUGUUGGUGGGGUAGUGGCUUACCAAGGCUUUGACGGGUAGCCGGCCUGAGAGGGUGACCGGACACAUUGGGACUGAGAUACGGCCCAGACUGCAACGGGAGGCAGCAGUGGGGAAUAUUGCACAAUGGGCGGAAGCCUGAUGCAGCAACGCCGCGUGCGGGAUGACGGCCUUCGGGUUGUAAACCGCUUUCGCCUGUGACGAAGCGUGAGUGACGGUAAUGGGUAAAGAAGCACCGGCUAACUACGUG
rnacentral:rRNA from 1 species